GACGAACGCUGGCGGCGUGCUUAACACAUGCAAGUCGAACGGAAAGGCCCUGCUUUUGUGGGGUGCUCGAGUGGCGAACGGGUGAGUAACACGUGAGUAACCUGCCCUUGACUUUGGGAUAACUUCAGGAAACUGGGGCUAAUACCGGAUAGGAGCUCCUGCUGCAUGGUGGGGGUUGGAAAGUUUCGGCGGUUGGGGAUGGACUCGCGGCUUAUCAGCUUGUUGGUGGGGUAGUGGCUUACCAAGGCUUUGACGGGUAGCCGGCCUGAGAGGGUGACCGGCCACAUUGGGACUGAGAUACGGACCAGAAUCCUACGGGAGGCAGCAGUGGGGAAUAUUGCACAAUGGGCGGAAGCCUGAUGCAGAGACGCCGCGUGCGGGAUGACGGCCUUCGGGUUGUAAACAGCUUUCGCAUGUGACGAAGAGUGAGUGACGGUAAUGGGUAAAGAAGCAACGGCUAACUACGUG
rnacentral:rRNA from 1 species